UACGUAGGUGGCAAGCGUUGUCCGGAUUUACUGGGCGUAAAGAGCGCGCAGGCGGUCGGAUUAGUCGCGUGUGAAAGCCCCCGGCUCAACUGGGGAGGGUCAUUCGAUACUGUUCGACUCGAAGGCAGGAGAGGGAAGUGGAAUUCCGGGUGUAGUGGUGAAAUGCGUAGAUAUCCGGAGGAACACCAGUGGCGAAGGCGACUUUCUGGCCUGUUCUUGACGCUGAGGCGCGAAAGCUAGGGGAGCAAACGGG
rnacentral:rRNA from 1 species